AGCGAACGUUUGCGGCGGGCCUAACACAUGCAAGUCGAACGCACUAGCAAUAGUGAGUGGCGCACGGGUGCGUAACACGUGGGUAAUCAACCCUUCAGCCUGGGAUAACGACUCGAAAGGGUCGCUAAUACCGGAUACGGCGCGAGAGGCUUCGGCUUCUCACGAGAAAGCCACGCAAGGGGCACUGAAGGACGAGCCUGCGGCCCAUCAGCUAGUUGGUGAGGUAAGAGCUCACCAAGGCUAAGACGGGUAGCUGGUCUGAGAGGAUGAUCAGCCACACUGGAACUGAGACACGGUCCAGACUCCUACGGGAGGCAGCAGUGGGGAAUAUUGCGCAAUGGGCGAAAGCCUGACGCAGCCACGCCGCGUGAGCGAUGAAGGCCUUCGGGUCGGUAAAGCUCUGUGGGGAGAGACGAAGAAAGCCUGUGAAGAGCAGGCCUUGACGGUAUCUCCUUAGCAAGCACCGGCUAACUCCGUGCCAGCA
rnacentral:rRNA from 1 species